AGGUGUUAGAAUGCGAUGGAGACAAAACGAAAGUUUUGUACGUCGACUACGGCAACCAGGAAUGGAUUACUGCCGAUAGACUUGCUCCGAUCUCUAAACAAUUUUCCAAUUUACCUGAAGUUUGUUUCCGAUGCACUUUGGACCUUUCUUCGGUUCCUGGUACCUGGGCUGAAAACUCCGGCGAGAAAUUGAUGAGCAUGUAUGGAGAAAAUGAACUUCGCUGCCAGGUUGUGGCAAAGACUGACGAUGGUCUUUUAGUGAAAUUGUUCUGUGGCGACGAAGAUGUGUUGGCUAAGGUUGUUACAUCUGAUGAGUCCACUCCCGCUGGGACUAUUGAAGAUAGUGCAGAAACACCGACCGGUGGUGAUUUUAUAAUCAAACAACUAAAGACAGGCGAUAGAAAGGACGUCAUAUGUUCCCAUAUUGAAACAACUCAGAAACUUUGGUGUCAGCUCGUUGAGGAUCAAAAAACUUUAGAUGACCUUAUGACGCGUUUGGAUGAAGUAUACGGUGCACUUGGGACCGAGGAACUGCUUCUCAAGAGUUACGAUGUCGGCUCUCCUUGCUGUGGCCAGUUUCUUGAAGACGAUGGAUGGUAUCGUGCCGAAAUACUUGGCAUGCAGGAUCAAGGUAUAUUUUACAUUUAUUACUUACCAGGUCAGGUAUACGUCCCUGGUAUAAACGGGGACUGAUUGUAAUGCAAACGCGCUACAACUGACCUGGGAUCGACCUAUCACCAAAAUUUUCUGAAUGAAGUGGCACUCGGUUGCUAUAACUGCAACAUUAACAAGUGGUCAAACCGAAUGCCAUGCUAUAUUUUAAGAGAAAAAAUUAUUUCUAUUGGUUAGACUUUUCCUCGUGAUUUCUCCUUUUAUUUAAAUUUUCUUUCUUAGGGAUAUAUUUUUUGGGAACUAAAAAAAAAAAUUCAGGCACCAAUGGUCCAGUGAUCCGAUACCUUUUUCACCCCUGUUGCAGUAUGUAGAAAAAAAAGAAAAUAAAAAAAUCAAAACUGCAGCUCAGCAACACUAUUCAUUAUAUGUAAUGUAGUCCUAAUCGCCAUGUUUUAUGUUAAGGUGUAAUGGUAAGAUAUGUUGAUUAUGGAAACGAGGAAGUAUUACCCACUUCAAGAUUACGAAUCCUGAAGACAGAGUUUUUCGCAACUCCACGCCAAGCUUAUGUUUGUUUACUAAAAGAUAUCGAAGCCGAAGGUGGCGAAUGGAGCCCGGAUGCUCUGACGUUGGUUGAAGGAUUUAUUUCUGAAAGGUUUGUAUUUGAAUUAAGGUGGCUCGAUACAGUUUUCAAAAAUUCAGGUGUUUAACACUUUGACAUGUUCAAACUACGCAUUUUUAGGAUUUAUUCUGCAGAUAUUGGG
rnacentral:lncRNA from 1 species